AUCCAGUGAUGAGUCCUAAAUAGGACGAAACGCGCAUCCUGGAU
rfam:Trichobilharzia regenti genome assembly, scaffold: TRE_scaffold0006640